AAGGGAGAAAAGUGAAAAGGAUUAAAUUUUUAAAUUUUCGACCCAUGAGCGAGUGCAACUGGAUAUUUAUUUGACUUCUACUGAAAUAAUAAAUUCUCUGCUGCAGUAUUCCUCCUUGAGUUGGUUUACUUUUCACACCUGUAAACUUUGGAGUGUUACGUUCUAUAAUUAAUUAAGAUCGACGUUGGAGAAGACAAAGAUGACCCAGUAGUUGAAAUAGUUCUUUGGUUUGAUUGAUUCAUAUUCUAUUCUUAUUCUUCGUAUUUUCCCACAGCAUAAAUUAAAUUGACAACUUUUAAAGUUUAUAUCUUGACACAGACAUCAGGUGGGCACGUCGCCAUUUUUAAUGUUUUGUUAUUUUAUUCGUUUUUGACUGGUUCUUUAUUACGUGUUUUUGUUUUACUUCAUGUUUCAUUUGUUUAAUACGAGUGUUUAAUUCUUUUUUUUUUGUCAAUUUUCGGCAUAUAUUUUGACUUUUAUUUGAGAGUAAGGGAGAAAAGUGAAAAGGAUUAAAUUUUUAAAUUUUCGACCCAUGAGCGAGUGCAACUGGAUAUUUAUUUGACUUCUACUGAAAUAAUAAAUUCUCUGCUGCAGUAUUCCUCCUUGAGUUGGUUUACUUUUCACACCUGUAAACUUUGGAGUGUUACGUUCUAUAAUUAAUUAAGAUCGACGUUGGAGAAGACAAAGAUGACCCAGUAGUUGAAAUAGUUCUUUGGUUUGAUUGAUUCAUAUUCUAUUCUUAUUCUUCGUAUUUUCCCACAGCAUAAAUUAAAUUGACAACUUUUAAAGUUUAUAUCUUGACACAGACAUCAGGUGGGCACGUCGCCAUUUUUAAUGUUUUGUUAUUUUAUUCGUUUUUGACUGGUUCUUUAUUACGUGUUUUUGUUUUACUUCAUGUUUCAUUUGUUUAAUACGAGUGUUUAAUUCUUUUUUUUUUGUCAAUUUUCGGCAUAUAUUUUGACUUUUAUUUGAGAGUAAGGGAGAAAAGUGAAAAGGAUUAAAUUUUUAAAUUUUCGACCCAUGAGCGAGUGCAACUGGAUAUUUAUUUGACUUCUACUGAAAUAAUAAAUUCUCUGCUGCAGUAUUCCUCCUUGAGUUGGUUUACUUUUCACACCUGUAAACUUUGGAGUGUUACGUUCUAUAAUUAAUUAAGAUCGACGUUGGAGAAGACAAAGAUG